AAUAAAACUUUGCUAAAUUGUAAUACGCGCUUUAAUUCAUUCAUAAUUUUGAAACGAAGCUUCCAAAAAACUCGGCACCUGCGUGAAGUAUACGCUUUCAAACUUUCUGGGUUUUACUUUCAUGUUUUUCCCUGGUUCGAUUAUUCCCUAGCUACUGACUGCCUGAAUUGUCACCAUUGCAUAUGGGGCGGAGAACUCCAAGCUACAGCCCUCCACCUCGAAGAGUGUAUGGCAGGAGAGGUAGGAGUCCAAGUCCAAGGGGCCAUUAUGAUUCUCGAGCUAGGGAUCUUCCAACAAGUCUCCUAGUGCGCAAUAUCUGUCGUGAUUGCAGGCCUGAAGAUCUUCGUCAACCAUUUGGGCGGUUUGGAUCUCUUAAGGAUAUAUAUCUUCCUAGAGAUUACUACACUGGGGAGCCUCGUGGGUUUGGGUUUGUGCAGUACAUGGACCCAGUUGAUGCAGCAGAAGCAAAGUAUUACAUGGAUAGACAGAUGUUUCAUGGACGAGAGAUAACAGUUGUCUUUGCAGAGGAGAGAAGGAAGAAACCGGAUGACAUGAGGAGAAGAGAGAUAAUAAGGCAUCGUGUGGAUUAUGUGCGACAUUAUUCGCCUGGUGAUGAUGUGCGAUCUCAUUUGCGCUCACAGUCACCUGUUUAUUACUCCCCUCAUCGUGAACCGUUUUCAAGAUCUUAUUCCCCCGAUGAUAGGAGAUACCGGGUAAAUUCCUCGGAUAGGAGGCAUUACGAUGGGGACUUCCAUUCCCUUUCUCAUUCACAUUCAAGGUCUCUGUCUGAUGGGCCAAUCAAUUCCUAUGAUAGGUCUCCCAGGACGACACCUUUGAGAAGUCGGUCCCCUCCUGAAAGAAAAUAUAGUGAUAGAUCACUGCCCUAUAGUAGGUCUCAAUGACAUUUUUGAAGGUAUGCAAAUGUAGUUGGCAGUUUAUGUUGGAUGCUAGAUGAAUGCGGUUGGUAUAAUAGGAAGCGGCAACGCAUUUUGAUGAUAUUGAAGCAAUCAUUAUUUGGUGUCUAAUGAAUGUCCCAUGAUGCAAAUAUGGUUUCCCAAUUAAGUGCUCUAGUCACACAGGAUAUGCUGGUGAAAUAAUUUCUUCACAGACAGAGAUGGGAGGAAUCGGAUGUGCUUGUCAAGAUGCAAGAUUGCCUGCAUGUCUCAUUGUUAGCACUAUGUUAGUUUGGAUUGAAUUUGCAUGGUUGUAAAUCAUAGUUUUGAACCAUAAGAAUGCAAUUAAUUAUAUGUUGUUUUAAUUUCAUAUUUACAUUGCAUUAUUCGCACUCUAAUCGGGUUUUAGUUAUCUUUUUAUUCGAUUAAUAAGAAAGUUAAAAAAGUUAAUAGUUA